UGGGAUGCUAAUUUCAAGAAUGGAGACAAGGGUUAAUGAUGGCUGCUCAGCAGAUGUUGUGAAUGUGAUUUCGGAAAGAAUGUCGCUCAUUUCGAGCAGUCAGUUGUGUCUCGGCUCCCAGCCAGCCGUUCUUGUUAUCCCUAGCAACUGAGCUCCUGUGCAGAACCGGAAGGGAGUCUGCAGGACUCGGAGCUUGCACACCGCUCCAGGGUGCACCAGCAGCAAACGACACGCAGGAGGAAGGCUGGCACCCUGACCCGGCCUCUGCGUCUGUGCAGCCCCCUCUCCCGGACCUGCUGCAGUAUCCGUUAGCGCGGCUCGGGAAGUGGAUUGUGAAGGACGCGUGUCUGCUCUUGCUUUGAUUGAAGAGUUCCAGCACCAUCUAGGGGGCUGUCUUCUAAAGCAGCUUCCCAGAAUUUCUGCACAGCUUUCUGGUCGCAAACUGUCCGAGCUCACCACUGUCCACUGGAAUUCAGGGCUUUCCUUGCGGAUUGAGUGUGAACUGGGACAGACCCUGAAUUCCCUGAGGAGGCCACUGAAACGUCUGUUCAUAUUCUCUGCAAAGAUGCAAAACGAUGCACCCGCAGGAAUCUGGGACACACUGUCCUGUCCCCACAGAGAUUCAGCGCACGAGUCAUGAGGCAACACUUCGGUUUACCUCCCACGAAACACGCCUUAGACGACGCGCCCGAGACCAUGCAAGUCCUGCACCAGGACAAACCCCCCGAAGGGGGACCUGAUGGAGCGGAAGCACCCAGCGCUGGGACAAAAGGACAGCAACCGAGGAGGGGGCUGCAUUUAGCAUAAGUGCUGCGUGUUUCCACGGAAACAACACAAAAUCUGACCCAGGAAAUGGAUGCUGAAUGUAAAGUGUUUGUUUAAUUUUAAUGUGAGCAGACGUUAAGCUGUUUAUUCCCAAAGCUAUUGAAAUGUAACAGUAAAUGCCUUUAAUCUCUUUUAGUUUUUAAUUGGUUUUUCUGGUGGGCUGAUUCCUUGUGAAUAAAGGGGAGACAUGAAGCA
rnacentral:lncRNA from 1 species